rnacentral:rRNA from 1 species
GACGAACGCUGGCGGCGUGCCUAAUACAUGCAAGUAGAACGCUGAAGAGAGGAGCUUGCUCUUCUUGGAUGAGUUGCGAACGGGUGAGUAACGCGUAGGUAACCUGCCUUGUAGCGGGGGAUAACUAUUGGAAACGAUAGCUAAUACCGCAUAACAAUGGAUGACACAUGUCAUUUAUUUGAAAGGGGCAAUUGCUCCACUACAAGAUGGACCUGCGUUGUAUUAGCUAGUAGGUGAGGUAAUGGCUCACCUAGGCGACGAUACAUAGCCGACCUGAGAGGGUGAUCGGCCACACUGGGACUGAGACACGGCCCAGACUCCUACGGGAGGCAGCAGUAGGUAAUCUUCGGCAAUGGGGGCAACCCUGACCGAGCAACGCCGCGUGAGUGAAGAAGGUUUUCGGAUCGUAAAGCUCUGUUGUAAGUCAAGAACGGGUGUGAGAGUGGAAAGUUCACACUGUGACGGUAGCUUACCAGAAAGGGACGGCUAACUACGUG